rnacentral:rRNA from 1 species
UCAGGACGAACGCUGGCGGCAUGCCUAACACAUGCAAGUCGAACGGAGUUUUCCCUUCGGGGGAAAACUUAGUGGCGAACGGGUGAGUAACGCGUGAGCAACCUGCCUUGGCAGGGGGAUAACACUUGGAAACAGGUGCUAAUACCGCAUAAGACCACACUUCCGCAUGGGAGAGGGGUCAAAGGAGCAAUCCGCGCUGAGAGGGGCUCGCGUCCCAUUAGGUAGAUGGCGGGGCAACGGCCCACCAUGCCGACGAUGGGUAGCCGAGCUGAGAGGCUGAUCGGCCACACUGGAACUGAGACACGGUCCAGACUCCUACGGGAGGCAGCAGUGGGGAAUAUUGGGCAAUGGGCGAAAGCCUGAACCCCAGCAAUGCCGCGUGAGGGAUGAAGGUCUUCGGAUUGUAAACCUCUGUCCUUGGUGACGAAGGAAGUGACGGUAGCCAAGGAGGAAGCCCCGGCUAACUACGUGCCAGCCGCCGC